GACGUAGGGGGCAAGCGUUGUUCGGAAUUACUGGGCGUAAAGCGCACGUAGGCGGCUUUGCAAGUUAGAGGUGAAAGCCCGGGGCUCAACUCCGGAAUUGCCUUUAAAACUGCAUCGCUAGAAUUGUGGAGAGGUAAGUGGAAUUCCGAGUGUAGAGGUGAAAUUCGUAGAUAUUCGGAAGAACACCAGUGGCGAAGGCGACUUACUGGACACAUAUUGACGCUGAGGUGCGAAAGCGUGGGGAGCAAACAGG
rnacentral:rRNA from 1 species